rnacentral:rRNA from 1 species
AACGAACGCUGGCGGCAUGCCUAACACAUGCAAGUCGAACGAGACCUUCGGGUCUUGUUGCCCACUGGUGCGUCACGCGACGGAACCUUCCCUUAGGUUCGGAAUAACCCUCCGCAAGGGGUGCUAAUACCGGAUAAUUUCUUCGGACCAAAGAUUUAUUGCCUUUGGAUGGGCCCGCGUUGGAUUAGCUAGUUGGUAGGGUAAAAGCCUACCAAGGCGACGUUCCAUAGCUGGUCUGAGAGGAUGAUCAGCCACACUGGGACUGUGACACGGCCCAGAUUCCUACGGGAGGCAGCAGUGGGGAAUAUUGGACAAUGGGCGAAAGACUGAUCCAGCAAUGCCGCGUGAGUGAUGAAGGCCUUAGGGUUGUAAAGCUCUUUUACCCGGGAUGAUAAUGACAGUACCGGGCGAAUAAGCGCCGGCUAACUCCGUG